CCAGAACCCAAGUGGAUAAAGCAACCACCAUUUUGAAUAUUGCUGGUUUCCAUGGCAGAAGAAACAACUCUGAAGAGUAUUGCAUUGGGGAUGCUGGGCAAUAUAAAGAGUUUUUGAAGAGAACAGCAACUGAUGAUGAAACGUGGUAUUUCUAAUGUGGUGAGGAAGCCGAGCAGAAAUCACCAACUUUGCUGAGACCUGGGAGAAAUACUCACGUCAAGAUCACAAGUGAAGAGGGCAUCAAUUGAUUUCAUUCAAGCCAAGGGCUUUGUGCUGGGAACAUUUAUCCCACAGGAUGAAGCAGUUCCAUUGGGUUCAGCAAACAUUAGCAACUACCUCCUUUGUUCGAAGCACGGGGUUCAGCGCCAGGGAUCCCAUGACAAAUAGCACACAGUCACAAGAAGAGAUGGUGAGAUGUGCACUUUGAGGUAUGGAAGCAGUGGAAGAUACAGGACUCUCAGAUGAUUAAUAUGUGUGUGUAGGGGGUGUGGGGGUGGGCAAGGAAAAGUGCAUGGAGAAUGGCUCCCAAGUUUCCCUUUUUCUCGUGUUUCUCACUGGGCAUUUGGGGUAGGGCAGUCCCUUGGGCAGGUCGCUCCCAUAUACAGCAGGACAUGUAACACUUCUAAACUCAGUGCUGCAUUCUUAGUCAUUCAUUGUGACCCCCCCCCAAAACAUACAUACACCACUUCCGUAUGUCCCUGGAGGGGCUGUUUCCUCUCCUUCCUAUCUGUCCCCCUUCAGAACUACUAACUCUUCACCCUCACCUUCCACACUACAGCCAGAAUAAUCUCUCUUAUCUUCCUAAAAUUACACAUAUCAUCCCAUCCUCCCUCCACCUAACUCCUUCAUUGCCUUGGUAGGUGUCAUAUGAGGUUGCGCCAAGUCUAGGUCCUUCCUAUGUCUCCACCCUCAUCCUUCUCCACUUUCUCCCUGGUCCUUCAUUUUCUCCCACCUAUGCUCCAAAUACACAAAAUCUGCUUGCAUUUGUCUUAGAAAGAGAGCCUAAUGCUCUUUCCCACUGCUGUGCUUUUGCAUGUGUUUUUCUCUUUGGAUGGUCUCCUUUGUCCACCUGGUGAAAUCCUGCUCCCACUGGUUUGAUCACUCUUCCUUAUGAUCACUAGCCUGAACCCAACUUUGGUUUGUCUUGAUCAUACUGCUUGCUGUUAUUUUUUUACUUAGAGCAAACUGUAUAGUAUAGUACUAAUGGCUCAGGUAGAUUAUACGAAUGUGCCCUGCUUUAAUAUUUAACACCUGUAAAUUGGA